UACCCCUAGGAGGGGAAUAACUGCUAGAAAUGGUAGCUAAUACCCCAUAAGCUGAGGAGUAAAAUGGAAUAUUCCGCCUAGGGAUAGGCUUGCGUCUGAUUAGCUAGUUGGUAAAGUAAUGGUUUACCAAGGCAACGAUCAGUAGCUGGUCUGAGAGGAUGAUCACCCACACUGGGACUGAGACACGGCCCAGACUCCUACGGGAGGCAGCAGUGAGGAAUUUUCCGCAAUGGGCGAAAGCCUGACGGACCAUGCCGCGUGGAGGAGGAAGGCCCGAGGGUUGUAAACUCCUUUUCUCAGAAAAGAAAAUCUGACGGUAUCUGAGGAAUAAGCAUCGGCUAACUCCGUGCCGCAGCCGCGGUAAGACGGAGGAUGCCAGC
rnacentral:rRNA from 1 species